rnacentral:lncRNA from 1 species
ACUCAUUUGAAAAAUGGAGGCCAAGCAAACCACUCUUGUUUUUCUUUCUCCCAGCAGUGUACCAAGUUCCACCUGCUGGUCUGGGACCUAAAGAUGUUUAUAAAAGACAGCUUUGUUUUUCUAGGAAAAAGAAAAAUCUAUAUUUUUGAAGUAAAGAAAGAAGCUCUCCUGCCUCUUAACACUAGUCUGAAAGAGGAGGUUGUAGUAAACACAUUCCAGCAUGCUGGAAAUCAUUUAUGCAUCUGCCAUGAAGUACCUGGAAGAAGGAAAGAGCCUGAAUCGGAGCUGCCUUAUCAGGCACCAACAGAAUCACAAAUCGAGGCUCACGGCUUAAAAGAACCAACAAGAAAAAUGAGACUGGAUUUGGAAAGGAGAUGGAAAUCUUGUACCUCUCACAAAACUAAGAAACCAUGGCAAAUGUCACGUCCUCACUGAAAAUUUCUGAAAGUAUAGGAAGUCAACUACUCAAGCAGUGCCUGCUAUCACUGCAGAAGACAUAAACAUAAAGAAUAUUUUCCUAAUUGCUAUGGACCACUUCAGUGGGGUGAGUGUAGCAGGUAAGCUCUGUGUGUCCAGGGGCUUGCUUGUAGAGGGAGUUGGGAGGUUGCAUGGUGGUGUCUCAGCAGAAAUUUCUACAUGACAAAAAUCACGUUCAUGAAGAUGUAUCCUCUCCUUCUAGGGCAUGCAAAUGAAAUUGAUUGCUGCCACACUGUGACAUGUGCAAUAAGUUUCAUACUCUGUCUGUUCAUCUGUGCAUGCUAAAUGCAAGGCUGACACGUGAAACAUGUCAGGGAUUUGUUUUAGAUUUGCUGUAGAUUUCUCUGAGCUAAUGGAAAUAGCUUCCCAUGGGAUUUCUAC